AGCGAACGCUGGCGGCAGGCCUAACACAUGCAAGUCGAACGGAUCCUUCGGGAUUAGUGGCGGACGGGUGAGUAACACGUGGGAACGUGCCCUUUGGUUCGGAACAACUCAGGGAAACUUGAGCUAAUACCGGAUGUGCCCUUCGGGGGAAAGAUUUAUCGCCAUUGGAGCGGCCCGCGUCUGAUUAGCUAGUUGGUGAGGUAAAGGCUCACCAAGGCGACGAUCAGUAGCUGGUCUGAGAGGAUGAUCAGCCACAUUGGGACUGAUACACGGCCCAAACUCCUACGGGAGGCAGCAGUGGGGAAUCUUGCGCAAUGGGCGAAAGCCUGACGCAGCCAUGCCGCGUGAAUGAUGAAGGUCUUAGGAUUGUAAAGUUCUUUCACCGGGGACGAUAAUGACGGUACCCGGAGAAGAAGCCCCGGCUAACUUCGUGCCAGCCGCCGCCGUAAUAC
rnacentral:rRNA from 1 species